rnacentral:rRNA from 1 species
UACGUAGGGUGCAAGCGUUAAUCGGAAUUACUGGGCGUAAAGCGUGCGCAGGCGGUUAUGUAAGACAGUUGUGAAAUCCCCGGGCUCAACCUGGGAACUGCAUCUGUGACUGCAUAGCUAGAGUACGGUAGAGGGGGAUGGAAUUCCGCGUGUAGCAGUGAAAUGCGUAGAUAUCAGGAGGAACACCGAUGGCGAAGGCAGCUGCCUGGCCUAACACUGACGCUGAGGUGCGAAAGCGUGGGGAGCGAACGGG